GGUCAAAAUGACACCUCAAUCGUCUCCGAGCUCGUCUCGUGAUCACGUUUGUCUCGUUUGUCAAGAUUUCGCUUCUGGCUACCAUUAUGGUGUCCCGUCAUGUGUCGGAUGCAAGACAUUUUUCCGGCGAACAAUUAUGAAGAAACAAAAGUACAUUUGCCAAUUCGAGGGCAAUUGUCCAGUUGAUAAAACUAUCCGCUGUGCCUGCCGAUACUGCCGAUUCGAGAAAUGUUUGAGCGUGGGAAUGGACCGAAACGCCCUCCAACAAAACCGUGACCCUAUCGGAUACACAAAACGUACCAGGCGUCCAAAAAAAGAGCUGAAGACUACCUCGGACUGUUCAAGUGACGAAGGAGCAAGCACCCCACCAUCAGUGUCUCCAUUACAGCUAUCGCCUCCACCAAUCUCGCCACUCCUUUUCCAAGCUGCACCACUGAAACCUCGUCGCUGCAUCCUACAAACUCUUGCCGAACGCGAAAAGUGUGCAAAUGAUCUCCGACUCUCCGAAUAUCUUCCAAUCCGAUCUCUCCACGAGGCUCUAUGCUCAAAGGCUCUGCUGAACGACACGGCUUUUUUGGAAAAGUGGGGACAGCCGAGUGAGAGACAUCAGAUCUUCGAUCUACGAUUCGUCAAUCACGACGACUACCACUAUUGGCACGAGAGAGACUGGUUCUUGUUGACAGAGUAUGCCAAAACAUUCGAUGUUUUUGAGGCGCUCGAUUAUCAAGAUAAGGCCGAACUUGUUCGCCAUGCCGCAAUAACAGUCCCAGUCCUGGUUCAAGUCUGGAACUCCCCGGACUACGGACCAGACACAAUUGUAUUCCCAGAUGGUGCCUACUUCGAUCGUACUCCAGAGCCAACCCGGCCAGCCGGACUCAACAGGAAAAAGUAUCAAAUGUUGGAUCUCGUGCUCAAGCCGUUCCGUGAUCUACAGCUCGACGCAACCGAAUUUGCAGCGUUCAAAGCGGUAACGUUUCUGAAUCCAGACGCUGACAUCUCUCUACCGGCUCGCAAGCUUGUGAACAACGAACGAGUCCGCAUCACCAAGCAGUUAUACGGCUACAUGGCCAUGAAAGACGACGUGGACACGGCAAUCGAAAGGUUGGUGAAAUCACGUUUUUCCUUCCUUUGAUGCAUUCAUCUAUUACUCGCUUGUCGAUCAAAUCAAACAUUGAUAGAUCACAAUUUGAUGUGUCUUGUUGCGGACUAGCUAAAUUCGCACGAUUGGUUCUGAUGGGAACGUCCAUGUCAAAAAUGGCGUGCGAAUCGAAAGAGGCCGUGUGGAUUGCAGACUUUUUCGAGAAUAUCGGCUUCUCGGCGUUUGCCCGGCAACUGUUUUUCGGUGAUACGACGAGCGUUGUUGCUCACAAAUUGUGAAGUGAAUAAAUUUAAAUUUAAUAAAUUAAUUUCCAGAAAUAUUUACACGCUUGAAAAAAAAUCUCAAUGCUAAUCCUAUUUAUAUACGUUUAUUAUUAUUUUUUUUUUUUGGUAUUUUUUUUGCAAUAAAGUUUUAACUUUUUU